rnacentral:rRNA from 1 species
UCCUGACUGACCGAUAGUGAACCAGUACCGUGAGGGAAAGGCGAAAAGAACCCCGGCGAGGGGAGUGAAAAAGAACCUGAAACCGUGUACGUACAAGCAGUGGGAGCACGCUUAGGCGUGUGACUGCGUACCUUUUGUAUAAUGGGUCAGCGACUUAUAUUCUGUAGCAAGGUUAACCGAAUAGGGGAGCCGAAGGGAAACCGAGUCUUAACUGGGCGUUAAGUUGCAGGGUAUAGACCCGAAACCCGGUGAUCUAGCCAUGGGCAGGUUGAAGGUUGGGUAACACUAACUGGAGGACCGAACCGACUAAUGUUGAAAAAUUAGCGGAUGACUUGUGGCUGGGGGUGAAAGGCCAAUCAAACCGGGAGAUAGCUGGUUCUCCCCGAAAGCUAUUUAGGUAGCGCCUCGUGAAUUCAUCUCCGGGGGUAGAGCACUGUUUCGGCAAGGGGGUCAUCCCGACUUACCAACCCGAUGCAAACUGCGAAUACCGGAGAAUGUUAUCACGGGAGACACACGGCGGGUGCUAACGUCCGUCGUGAAGAGGGAAACAACCCAGACCGCCAGCUAAGGUCCCAAAGUCAUGGUUAAGUGGGAAACGAUGUGGGAAGGCCCAGACAGCCAGGAUGUUGGCUUAGAAGCAGCCAUCAUUUAAAGAAAGCGUAAUAGCUCACUGGUCGAGUCGGCCUGCGCGGAAGAUGUAACGGGGCUAAACCAUGCACCGAAGCUGCGGCAGCGACGCUUAUGCGUUGUUGGGUAGGGGAGCGUUCUGUAAGCCUGCGAAGGUGUGCUGUGAGGCAUGCUGGAGGUAUCAGAAGUGCGAAUGCUGACAUAAGUAACGAUAAAGCGGGUGAAAAGCCCGCUCGCCGGAAGACCAAGGGUUCCUGUCCAACGUUAAUCGGGGCAGGGUGAGUCGACCCCUAAGGCGAGGCCGAAAGGCGUAGUCGAUGGGAAACAGGUUAAUAUUCCUGUACUUGGUGUUACUGCGAAGGGGGGACGGAGAAGGCUAUGUUGGCCGGGCGACGGUUGUCCCGGUUUAAGCGUGUAGGCUGGUUUUCCAGGCAAAUCCGGAAAAUCAAGGCUGAGGCGUGAUGACGAGGCACUACGGUGCUGAAGCAACAAAUGCCCUGCUUCCAGGAAAAGCCUCUAAGCAUCAGGUAACAUCAAAUCGUACCCCAAACCGACACAGGUGGUCAGGUAGAGAAUACCAAGGCGCUUGAGAGAACUCGGGUGAAGGAACUAGGCAAAAUGGUGCCGUAACUUCGGGAGAAGGCACGCUGAUAUGUAGGUGAAGUCCCUUGCGGAUGGAGCUGAAAUCAGUCGAAGAUACCAGCUGGCUGCAACUGUUUAUUAAAAACACAGCACUGUGCAAACACGAAAGUGGACGUAUACGGUGUGACGCCUGCCCGGUGCCGGAAGGUUAAUUGAUGGGGUCAGCGCAAGCGAAGCUCUUGAUCGAAGCCCCGGUAAACGGCGGCCGUAACUAUAACGGUCCUAAGGUAGCGAAAUUCCUUGUCGGGUAAGUUCCGACCUGCACGAAUGGCGUAAUGAUGGCCAGGCUGUCUCCACCCGAGACUCAGUGAAAUUGAACUCGCUGUGAAGAUGCAGUGUACCCGCGGCAAGACGGAAAGACCCCGUGAACCUUUACUAUAGCUUGACACUGAACAUUGAGCCUUGAUGUGUAGGAUAGGUGGGAGGCUUUGAAGUGUGGACGCCAGUCUGCAUGGAGCCGGCCUUGAAAUACCACCCUUUAAUGUUUGAUGUUCUAACGUGGACCCGUGAUCCGGGUUGCGGACAGUGUCUGGUGGGUAGUUUGACUGGGGCGGUCUCCUCCUAAAGAGUAACGGAGGAGCACGAAGGUUGGCUAAUCCUGGUCGGACAUCAGGAGGUUAGUGCAAUGGCAUAAGCCAGCUUGACUGCGAGCGUGACGGCGCGAGCAGGUGCGAAAGCAGGUCAUAGUGAUCCGGUGGUUCUGAAUGGAAGGGCCAUCGCUCAACGGAUAAAAGGUACUCCGGGGAUAACAGGCUGAUACCGCCCAAGAGUUCAUAUCGACGGCGGUGUUUGGCACCUCGAUGUCGGCUCAUCACAUCCUGGGGCUGAAGUAGGUCCCAAGGGUAUGGCUGUUCGCCAUUUAAAGUGGUACGCGAGCUGGGUUUAGAACGUCGUGAGACAGUUCGGUCCCUAUCUGCCGUGGGCGCUGGAGAACUGAGGGGGGCUGCUCCUAGU